CCUCUAGACAGGUUAAGAUAAAUCUCCCCCAUUGUCCUUGGUGGCAUUUAAACCUAGGACCCCAGCGCUGCAAGGAAACAGUGCUAACCACUGAGCCACCAUACUGCCCCUGUGCACAAUAUCAAUGUCUAAGUCAGAAAAUGCCAGAGGAGUGGAACUAUCUGAGGACUGAUCUAUUUUCAGCAGACACCGCUAUCUAACAAUAACCUGUGGGAUUUUUAAAUAAAGUAAAAAUCUGAGGGAACCUGACAGCAAGAGUUUGAUCUCCACCACUGGAGAAAUCAAGAAAUAAAGCAUGAAGAUGUUUUUGCCACAGAAAUCCUGAUUCCGGCUUCCAUAGAAACACUGCACCACUGCAGCACAUUUCCAAAUCAAGCAAAUGUGUAAAAUGUCCGCCUGUAUUUUCCGUAGGAUAUUCCGCAUAUUUUUGGCCAUGUGAACAUGGCCUAAUAGGCAAAAACACUGGAACAAUGCAUGGAAAAUGCCUUUUUAUGUGUUAGUGGCAGCAUGCUCUAGGUGUUUGUUUUUUUUACUCAGUUUGUGGAAAACUAAAAUGUAUCUGUAAAUUCAACUGUUUUCUGAUUUUUAAAAAUGUAAAUGUCUUAAGCAGUAAAACUGCAGCUCAAAAGAUAGUAUGUGAAUAUAGUCAUAAGCUGCGCCAAUUUUUUGGCUGGGAAGGCCAGGAUUAAGUCUGUAAUGCGGAUGCAAAAUGUGGCUGUAAGACGCCUGU